rnacentral:rRNA from 1 species
AACGAACGCUGGCGGUGCGUUUUAAGCAUGCAAGUCGAACGGCAAGAAGGUGCUUGCACUUUCCUAGAGUGGCGGACUGGUGAGUAACGCGUGGGUGAUCUACCUUUAAGAUGGGGAUAGCUUUUAGAAAUAAGAGAUAAUACCGAAUGUGCUUAUUGAAUUAUGAUUUGAUAAGGAAAGGGGCGAAUGCCUCGCUUAAAGAUGAGCCUGCGUCCCAUUAGCUAGUUGGCAAGGUAAAGGCUUACCAAGGCGAUGAUGGGUAUCCGACCUGAGAGGGUGAACGGACACAUUGGGACUGAGAUACGGCCCAAACUCCUACGGGAGGCAGCAGCUGAGAAUCUUCCGCAAUGGACGAAAGUCUGACGGAGCGACACCGCGUGAAUGAUGAAGGCCGGAAGGUUGUAAAGUUCUUUUGCAGACAAAGAAUAAGUGUAGGAGGGAAUGCCUACAUGAUGACGGUAGUUAUGUGAAUAAGCCCCGGCUAAUUACGUGCCAGCAGCCGCGGUAAUACGUAAGGGGCGAGCGUUGUUCGGAAUUAUUGGGCGUAAAGGGCAUGUAGGCGGUUUAGUAAGCCUGAUGUGAAAUCUACGAGCUUAACUCGUAAACUGCAUUGGGUACUGCUGAUCUUGAAUCAUAGAGGGGGAACUGGAAUUCCAAGUGUAGGGGUGGAAUCUGUAGAUAUUUGGAAGAACACCGGUGGCGAAGGCGGGUUUCUAGCUAAUGAUUGACGCUGAUAUGCGAAGGUGCGGGGAGCAAACAGGAUUAGAUACCCUGGUAGUCCGCACAGUAAACUAUGUACACUAGGUGUUGGGGUAAGACUCAGUGCCGUUGCAAACGCAAUAAGUGUACCGCCUGGGGAGUAUGCCCGCAAGGGUGAAACUCAAAGGAAUUGACGGGGGCCCACACAAGCGGUGGAGCAUGUGGUGUAAUGCGAUGGUACGCGAGGAACCCUACCUGGGUUUGACAUCAAGAGGGAUAUGAUAGAGAUAUGGUAGCGUAGCAAUACGACUCUUGACAGGUGCUGCAUGGGCUGUCGUCAGCUCGUGCCGUGAGGUGUUUGGGUUAGUUCCGCCACGAGCGCAUUCCUACUGCCAGUUACUACAGGUAAGCUGAGGACUCUGGCGAACUGCCGUGAUAACCCGAGAAGGUGGGAUUCGUCAGUAUAUG